CUGGCUGGCCUCGAUUACUCUGUGCAGUAGGCUGCUCCAUCUUUCUUUCUCGUAAACAUGCUUGUGGUGGUGACCACAGCUGCACGCUGCUGCUUUCCUUCAUUGCAACAACACUCCAAAGAAGCACUGAUGUAACUGAGGCAUUACCUGGGAUUUUGUACGAUGAUGAGGACGGGAGCAAGGUAGAGCUCUUCUGGCAAGAUGUCCCAAAGCCGAGGGGCCACAUCUGAAAAGGCUGUCUCUCGUCCCCACUCACUGACGUGUAUAGUCAGGAUGUCCACCAGAGUGCUAAGCCCCAUUGAAAUUAAUGUAACUUAAAUUAGACAUGAUUUAUUUGCCUGAUUAUUUUUCUUUCAUCAGUCUAUGUGGGAUAAAGUUUGCCCCUUCUGUGCCCCCCCUUUUUUUUCUGGUGCUGCCACUGGUGGGUGUGUAUGUUUUACUGACUUGUUUGCAUAGAUUCAGAAAGGGAAGUGGUGGUGGUGGCAAUGGCAAUGAUAAACAAUUCAGAACUUGCUUCAGAUCCCUGCUCUGCCAUGGAAUUAACCGGAUGACCCUGGGCUGGACAUGGUAUCGCUCAGCCUAAUCCACCUCACAGGGUUGUUGUGGGGAUAAAACGGGAGAAACCCCAUUCCCUACCCUGAGCUCCUGGUGGGAAGGGUAGGAUAAAAAUGAUGAGCACAGAACCAGUACAUGUCUCACAGGGUUUUAGAGAUGAGUCUCUGCUCCUAAGGAGCUUACAAUCUAAAUCAGACAAUGAGGAAUACAGGAGGAGAGGAAGGGAGAGAGAAACAAAGCACAGGAUUAAUGCAGGGGAAAUGCAGUUGCACAGUGAAAAGACAGCUGCAAGGAUUGGUGGUCCCAAUGUAUUUCUUCAGCAGGGGAAAUUAUAUGUUUGAUUAAGUUUCUGUCCAGUUUUGCUGAACAGUUUAUGAAGAAGUCAACACAUAUAACACUCAUAUCUCUCUAGAUAAAGAUUCCACUGAAACUCACUGGGAACACCUGCCUUUUCUGUGUGCACAGAUGUGUAUUUUAAUAAAUAAAUAAAUAAAUAAAUAAAUAAA